rnacentral:rRNA from 1 species
GUCCGCCUACGGGGCGCAGCAGUAGGGAAUCUUCCACAAUGGGCGAAAGCCUGAUGGAGCAACGCCGCGUGGGUGAAGAAGGUCUUCGGAUCGUAAAACCCUGUUGUUAGAGAAGAAAGUGCGUGAGAGUAACUGUUCACGUUUCGACGGUAUCUAACCAGAAAGCCACGGCUAACUACGUGCCAGCAGCCGCGGUAAUAUGUAGGUGGCAAGCGUUAUCCGGAUUUAUUGGGCGUAAAGGGAUCGCAGGCGGUCUUUUAAGUCUGAUGUGAAAGGCUUCGGCUUAACCGGAGUAG